AACAAAACCCGAAAGAUGAAGGCAAACUCAAACUCAAUAGGUAUGUUCUAUAAAUAUUUCAACUCUUUUAUAAUUUAAAUGAAGUUCAGUAAUCUUUUUAAACUUACACAAUUGCUUUUCAUAUUUUUCUACGUUGCUUGAGCUUGAGGCAAAGCUUUUGAAACCAUUUUUUUCGACGAUUAUUUAGGCAAUUUACAGUUUAUCGAAAACUAAAUAUUUUUGUUUCAAAAACAUAAAAAACUUCGUUUAGAUCGAAGAAAAACAAAACCCGACGAAGAAAGAACUAUCAUUUUGUAAUCUUAUAAGAAAUUAGCAAAACAGUGACGUUCAGAGCAUGCAAAAAUGUUUUAUAUCAGUUUACGCGAAACCGGCGAAACUACUUUGUUUACAAGGCUGCACGAUAUUCACCGUUUUUAUAACUGCACAUUUGCUUUGACAGUUUGUGGCUUCAAAGAACUCAAAAUCUAUCCUCAAACUACAAAUUAGACAACAACACAAACGUUUUGACGAUGAAAACGUAGUUUUAGCUUUGUUUAUACUUUGUAGUUCGCACUCCUAGUCAAAUUCAAACAUGGCGGAUUUAUAAGGGCACGCAUGAGAAAAAGUGGAGACAUGAUUCGUGAUCAAGUACGCAUUCUAUAUCUAUUAUUUCUAUGGUGUUGAUGCACAGAAUAUAUGCGCAAAACGGACUUUACAUCAUCUUUAAUUAACUAAAGAUAAAAGAAUUUCAAUCUCUAUUUUACACUCGGGAGAAAUUUAGAAUUUCUUUUUCCUUUGCAAACCUUAAACUCUACACCUUAAACAUUAAAUUUUAAGCGUGCAAAGCAUAAUGGGAACAUUAUUUACUCAGUUUAAAAAUCGUAUAAGGGGCCCAUUUCUUAGAGACAUGGUAAAUAUCUCCUUAUACAAGAACAAU